GACGUAGGAGGCAAGCGUUAUCCGGAUUUAUUGGGCGUAAAGCGCACGCAGGCGGUCGGCCAAGUUCACUGCGACAGUCCCCGGCUUAACCGGGGAAGGACGAUGAACACUGGCCGACUUGAGAGCGAGAGAGGGACAUGGAACUCCAGGUGGAGCGGUGAAAUGCGUAGAGAUCUGGAAGAACACCAAAGGCGAAGGCAGUGUCCUGGCUCGUAUCUGACGCUGAUGUGCGAAAGCUAGGGGAG
rnacentral:rRNA from 1 species